AGCGAACGCUAGCGGGAUGCCUCAAACAUGCAAGUCGUACGCGAAUUUGGCUUCGGCCAUUAGUAGAGUGGCGCACGGGUGCGUAACACGUAGCUAACGUACCCUAUCGCUGGGGAUAACUCCGUGAAAACGGAGCUAAUACCGAAUGAUCUGUCGGGGUCUGCGGACCCUGCCGGUAAAGCCGUAAGGCGCGAUAGGAUCGGGCUGCGGCAGAUUAGUUUGUUGGUGGGGUAAUGGCCUACCAAGACUACGAUCUGUAGCUGGUCUGAGAGGAUGAUCAGCCACACUGGAACUGGAACACGGUCCAGACUCCCACGGGAGGCAGCAGUUGGGAAUAUUGGACAAUGGGAGCAAUCCUGAUCCAGCAAUCCCGCGUGAGUGAUGAAGGCCUUCGGUCGUAAAGCUCUUUUAGGUAGGGACGAAGGGAAAC
rnacentral:rRNA from 1 species